AUCAGUGGCCAGCAAUCGUCAGGAUUGUUGAGCUGCAUUGGCGGGAUUUCGCCGUCUUCGUUUCUCUUUCUUCGCGGACGAACACGCGCUGGGGCUGCAAGUUUGCAGAGUCCCUGGUCCUUGACUGGAUAUGCGUUAGGGGCUUGUAGCUCAGUUGGUUAGAGCGCGCGCUUGAUAAGCGUGAGGUCGGAAGUUCAAGUCUUCCCAGGCCCACCACUUUCAUCGAGUGAGCAUUCGUCUUCUGGUUACGGGGCCAUAGCUCAGCUGGGAGAGCGCGUGCUUUGCAAGCAUGAGGUCGUCGGUUCGAUCCCGUCUGGCUCCACCAGAUGGUUUGAUCAUCGACUGAUCGUGCACCUAAAUCGUCCGCGAAACAUCACUUCGCAUCUUGCUAGUCUGGAUAGACAGCAAGUUGCGUGAUUUCUGACAUCGUAAAGAGGAGAUCGAUCCGAGUUGGAUCGUGCAGCAAGCAAUUGCUACGCGAGACUUCAUUAUCUCCGGACCAUUUCGGCGCUCGUGCGUCUUUCAAGGGCAGCUCACAAGGCUGCUUCUGGAGAGACAAGCGAGUUGUAAAUGAUCCUUUUAGCGAAGCUUGACCGCCUCGCUAUCGGAACGAUCUUACGAAGCAAGCUGGUCUUUCUAAUCAUUGUCCGGCUGCAGAUAGCGUUCAUCGAGGGCGCGUGCCGCAAGGCAGUUCUGCAGACAACAUUCUGCCGAGUGUGUGGACAUUGAUAAUGAGAGCAAUCAAGUGCCUUAAGGGUGUUCGGUGGAUGCCUUGGCGCUGAGAGGCGAUGAAGGACGUGCUACGCUGCGAUAAGC
rnacentral:misc_RNA from 1 species